rnacentral:rRNA from 1 species
GAUGAGCGCUGGCGGCGUGCUUAACACAUGCAAGUCGAGCGAAGCGCUUUUGCGGAUUUCUUCGGAUUGAAGCAAUUGUGACUGAGCGGGCGCGGGUGAGUACGCGUGGUAACUGCUCAUACAGGGGAUAACAGUUGGAAACGGCUGCUAAUACCGCAUAAGCGCACAGUACCGCAUGGUACCGUGUGAAAAACUCCGGUGGUAUGAGAUGGACCCGCGUCUGAUUAGGUAGUUGGUGGGGUAACGGCCUACCAAGCCGACGAUCAGUAGCCGACCUGAGAGGGUGACCGGCCACAUUGGGACUGAGACACGGCCCAA